GAUGAACGCUGGCGGCGUGCCUAAUACAUGCAAGUCGAGCGAACAGAUGAGGAGCUUGCUCCUCUGACGUUAGCGGCGGACGGGUGAGUAACACGUGGAUAACCUACCUAUAAGACUGGGAUAACUUCGGGAAACCGGAGCUAAUACCGGAUAAUAUAUUUAACCGCAUGGUUCAAUAGUGAAAGACGGUUUUGCUGUCACUUAUAGAUGGAUCCGCGCCGCAUUAGCUAGUUGGUAAGGUAACGGCUUACCAAGGCAACGAUGCGUAGCCGACCUGAGAGGGUGACCGGCCACACGGGAACUGAGACCCGGUCCAGCCUCCUACGGGAGGCAGCAGUAGGGAAUCUUCCGCAAUGGGCGAAAGCCUGACGGAGCAACGCCGCGUGGGUGAUGAGGGUCUUCGGAUCGUAAAACUCUGUUAUUAGGGAAGAACAAAUGUGUAAGUAACUAUGCACGUCUUGACGGUACCUAAUCAGAAAGCCACGGCUAACUACGUG
rnacentral:rRNA from 1 species